UUAAUAAGUAUAUACUAUGCCUUCCAUCUCUCUCUAGUUUUAUUAUUAUAUAAUCAAUCUAUAGUAUCAUCUCUCUCUAUAGUCGUAUUAUACAAUAAAUACAUAUAGUAUCAUCUCUCUCUAGUCUUAUUAUACAAUAAAUAUAUAUAGUAUCAUCUCUCCCUCUUUAUCACCCUUUGACUUUCAUCUAGUGCGGGGAUGGAUAUUAACGGCCAAGAUUCGCUUAACAUAGAGCCACAAAUGAAUGUAAGUUCAUCACCACGGUUGAGAUUGAUCUGGACGGCCAAGAUUCGCUUAACAUAGAGCCACAAAUGAAUGUAAGUUCAUCACCACGGUUGAGAUUGAUCUGGACGGCCAAGAGUAGUUGAAGAGCCCCCUUCGUAACUAACGGCGUGACACUCCUGCAUUAUUUCUUCCGCCUUAUACGGUGCAGUGACGCGUGGCGCUCGAACGGCCGAGAUUGUUAGCUGACGGUUUCAAGGAGGUCGCAAUCCAGACCGUCCAAAUUGUUUCGGAUGGGUCAGGUAUGGACGUGCACUUUGGAUAUGGACGGUGGAGAUUGGUUCAAUGUAGGGUGAUAUGAUUU
rnacentral:lncRNA from 1 species